AUCUUGUGUUUGGGGCAAUGACACAGUUAGUGAGGUUCUAAUAGAGGGGCGUCUAUUGCUGGUUGAAAACUAUUUCCAAACCCCCUCUUAUGCCUGGGUUCAGCCUUGGCCCUCUUCGGGGUAGAGCCCUGCAACUCUUAAUAUCAAAGUUCAUCUUUUAAGGUUUGUAAAUUGAACUGAGCUGGGUUCAAAAUAAAAUUUAAGUACAAUAAAAUAUUAA
rnacentral:snRNA from 13 species